GGAGGAGGAGGACAGGGGAGGAGGACAGGAGAGGAGGGGGACAGGGCAGGUGCGGAGGAGGACAGGGGAGGACUCAGUGGGUAAGAUGGAGAUCUUGAGGAGGGUGGGGAGGACAGGGACUGAUGCAGGAGAGUUGGAGGAGAUCUCGAUAGAGGAGGCGAACUUGAGGGAGGGUGGGGGAGGUCUCAAAAGGGCAACGGUAGUAGACACAGAAACAUCUCAUUAUAUACAUACAUAUAUACAGUGCCUUGCGAAAGUAUUCGGCCCCCUUGAACUUUGCAACC
ensembl:lncRNA